UUAAGCGACUAAGCGUACACGGUGGAUGCCCUGGCAGUCAGAGGCGAUGAAGGACGUGCUAAUCUGCGAUAAGCGUCGGUAAGGUGAUAUGAACCGUUAUAACCGGCGAUUUCCGAAUGGGGAAACCCAGUGUGAUUCGUCACACUAUCAUUAACUGAAUCCAUAGGUUAAUGAGGCGAACCGGGGGAACUGAAACAUCUAAGUACCCCGAGGAAAAGAAAUCAACCGAGAUUCCCCCAGUAGCGGCGAGCGAACGGGGAGGAGCCCAGAGCCUGAAUCAGUGUGUGUGUUAGUGGAAGCGUCUGGAAAGGCGUGCGAUACAGGGUGACAGCCCCGUACACAAAAAUGCACAUGCUGUGAGCUCGAUGAGUAGGGCGGGACACGUGGUAUCCUGUCUGAAUAUGGGGGGACCAUCCUCCAAGGCUAAAUACUCCUGACUGACCGAUAGUGAACCAGUACCGUGAGGGAAAGGCGAAAAGAACCCCGGCGAGGGGAGUGAAAAAGAACCUGAAACCGUGUACGUACAAGCAGUGGGAGCACAGAGCAAUCUGUGUGACUGCGUACCUUUUGUAUAAUGGGUCAGCGACUUAUAUUCUGUAGCAAGGUUAACCGAAUAGGGGAGCCGAAGGGAAACCGAGUCUUAACUGGGCGUUAAGUUGCAGGGUAUAGACCCGAAACCCGGUGAUCUAGCCAUGGGCAGGUUGAAGGUUGGGUAACACUAACUGGAGGACCGAACCGACUAAUGUUGAAAAAUUAGCGGAUGACUUGUGGCUGGGGGGGAAAGGCCAAUCAAACCGGGAGAUAGCUGGUUCUCCCCGAAAGCUAUUUAGGUAGCGCCUCGUGAAUUCAUCUCCGGGGGUAGAGCACUGUUUCGGCAAGGGGGUCAUCCCGACUUACCAACCCGAUGCAAACUGCGAAUACCGGAGAAUGUUAUCACGGGAGACACACGGCGGGUGCUAACGUCCGUCGUGAAGAGGGAAACAACCCAGACCGCCAGCUAAGGUCCCAAAGUCAUGGUUAAGUGGGAAACGAUGUGGGAAGGCCCAGACAGCCAGGAUGUUGGCUUAGAAGCAGCCAUCAUUUAAAGAAAGCGUAAUAGCUCACUGGUCGAGUCGGCCUGCGCGGAAGAUGUAACGGGGCUAAACCAUGCACCGAAGCUGCGGCAGCGACGCUUAUGCGUUGUUGGGUAGGGGAGCGUUCUGUAAGCCUGUGAAGGUGUACUGUGAGGUAUGCUGGAGGUAUCAGAAGUGCGAAUGCUGACAUAAGUAACGAUAAAGCGGGUGAAAAGCCCGCUCGCCGGAAGACCAAGGGUUCCUGUCCAACGUUAAUCGGGGCAGGGUGAGUCGACCCCUAAGGCGAGGCCGAAAGGCGUAGUCGAUGGGAAACAGGUUAAUAUUCCUGUACUUGGUGUUACUGCGAAGGGGGGACGGAGAAGGCUAUGUUGGCCGGGCGACGGUUGUCCCGGUUUAAGCGUGUAGGCUGGUUUUCCAGGCAAAUCCGGAAAAUCAAGGCUGAGGCGUGAUGACGAGGCACUACGGUGCUGAAGCAACAAAUGCCCUGCUUCCAGGAAAAGCCUCUAAGCAUCAGGUAACAUCAAAUCGUACCCCAAACCGACACAGGUGGUCAGGUAGAGAAUACCAAGGCGCUUGAGAGAACUCGGGUGAAGGAACUAGGCAAAAUGGUGCCGUAACUUCGGGAGAAGGCACGCUGAUAUGUAGGUGAAGUCCCUCGCGGAUGGAGCUGAAAUCAGUCGAAGAUACCAGCUGGCUGCAACUGUUUAUUAAAAACACAGCACUGUGCAAACACGAAAGUGGACGUAUACGGUGUGACGCCUGCCCGGUGCCGGAAGGUUAAUUGAUGGGGUCAGCGCAAGCGAAGCUCUUGAUCGAAGCCCCGGUAAACGGCGGCCGUAACUAUAACGGUCCUAAGGUAGCGAAAUUCCUUGUCGGGUAAGUUCCGACCUGCACGAAUGGCG
rnacentral:rRNA from 1 species